rnacentral:tRNA from 1 species
GUUUUAAUAAUUUAAUAAUAAAAUAUUGGUCUUGGAGACCUGAAAUAAGAAACCUUUUAAAACU